CCUACGGGAGGCAGCAGUAAGGAAUAUUGGACAAUGCUCGCAAGAGUGAUCCAGCCAUGCCGCGUGCAGGAAGAAUGCCCUAUGGGUAGUAAACUGCUUUUGAACUAGAGAAAACCCCAGUACGUGUACUGGGCUGAUAGUAUAGUUAGAAUAAGCAUCGGCUAACUUCGUGCCAGCAGCCGCGGUAAGACGAAGGAUGCAAGCGUUAUCCGGAUUCAUUGGGUUUAAAGGGAGCGUAGGUGGACUGAUAAGUCAGUGGUGAAAUCUCCGAGCUUAACUCGGAAAUUGCCAUUGAUACUGUUGGUCUUGAGUACAGUUGCUGUGGGCGGAAUAUGACAUGUAGUGGUGAAAUACAUAGAGAUGUCAUAGAACACCGAUUGCGAAGGCAGCUCACAAAGCUGUAACUGACACUGAGGCUCGAAAGUGCGGGGAUCAAACAGGAUUAGAUACCCUGGUAGUCCGCACCGUAAACGAUGAUUACUCGCUGCUAGGGGGCAACCUUUAGUGGCUUAGCGAAAGCGAUAAGUAAUCCACCUGGGGAGUACGCCGGCAACGGUGAAACGUCAAAUGAAUUGACCGGNGUUGAGAGNGCGAGCGACGACGAGGGAGAGG
rnacentral:rRNA from 1 species